GACGAACGCUGGCGGCGUGCCUAAUACAUGCAAGUCGAACGCAGUGGGGACGGGUGAGUAACACGUGGGUAACCUCCCAUCAGAGGGGAUAACACUUGGAAACAGGUGCUAAACCGAUACUGAUGGAUGGACCCGCGGUGCAUUAGCUAGUUGGUGAGGUAACGGCUCACCAAGGCCACGAUGCAUAGGCGCCCCUGGAGGGUGAUCGGCCACACUGGGACUGAGAAACGGCCCAGAAUCCCACGGUAGGCAGCAGUAGGGAAUCUUCGGCAAUGGACGAAAGUCUUACCGAGCAACGCCGCGUGAGUGAAGAAGGUUUUCGGGUCGUAAAACUCUGUUUUUAGAGAAGCCGUAUCUAACCAGAAAGCCACGGCUAACUACGUGCCAGCAGCCGCGGUAAUUC
rnacentral:rRNA from 1 species